rnacentral:rRNA from 1 species
GACGAACGCGGGCGGCGUGCUUAACACAUGCAAGUCGAACGAAAAUACCAAGCUUGCUUGGUUGAUUAGUGGCGAACGGGUGAGUAGCACGUGAGUAACCUGCCCCUUACUUUCCUGGAUAACUGCUCGAAAGGGUAGCUAAUACGGGAUAUUCUGACCGGCCUGCAUGGGUUGGUUUGGAAAGGUUGUUUUUUCUGGUGAGGGAUGGGCUCGCGGCCUAUCAGCUUGUUGGUGGGGUGAUGGCCUACCAAGGCUUUGACGGGUAGCCGGCCUGAGAGGGUGGACGGUCACACUGGGACUGAGAUACGGCCCAGACUCCUACGGGAGGCAGCAGUGGGGAAUAUUGCACAAUGGGCGCAAGCCUGAUGCAGCGACGCCGCGUGAGGGAUGAAGGCCUUCGGGUUGUAAACCUCUUUCGUCAGGGAACAAGGCACUACGUUUUGGUGGUGUUGAGGGUACCUGGAUAAGAAGCGCCGGCUAACUACGUGCCAGCAGCCGCGGUAAUACGUAGGGCGCAAGCGUUGUCCGGAAUUAUUGGGCGUAAAGAGCUCGUAGGCGGCUGGUCGCGUCUGUCGUGAAAACUUCCGGCUCAACCGGGGGCUUGCGGUGGGUACGGGCCGGCUAGAGUGCGGUAGGGGUAACUGGAACUCCUGGUGUAGCGGUGGAAUGCGCAGAUAUCAGGAAGAACACCGAUGGCGAAGGCAGGUUACUGGGCCGUUACUGACGCUGAGGAGCGAAAGCGUGGGGAGCGAACAGG